UACGUAGGGGGCAAGCGUUGUCCGGAUUUAUUGGGCGUAAAGAGCGUGUAGGCGGCUGGGUAGGUCCGCUGUGAAAACUCGAGGCUUAACCUCGAGACGUCGGUGGAAACCAUCCAGCUAGAGUCCGGAAGAGGAGAGUGGAAUUCCUGGUGUAGCGGUGAAAUGCGCAGAUAUCAGGAGGAACACCGGUGGCGAAGGCGGAUCUCUGGGCCUUACCUGACGCUGAGGCGCGAAAGCUAGGGGAGCGAACAGG
rnacentral:rRNA from 1 species